rnacentral:lncRNA from 1 species
CGUUUUUUAUUUUAAGCCUUCGGAAAACAAAACUGACACAGACAGGAUCAAAAGCAAAGUCCAAGUAGGUAUAAUCUCCCCCCAACAAAAUAAGAUAUGAAGAAGAAAAGUACAGGCUCAUACAUAAAACAAAUAUCCAAUAUAAUCCAAUAUCGUCGAACAAAAUUGAACGGUAAAGAAAGACACCGGAAGAAAAAGGAUGAGCACUGCAUCCAUCGCUGGCACACAAUAUGACCAGCACCAUCUAAUACCAAAGCAAAC